ACGUACACUCCUGCGGGAGGCAGCAGUGGGGAAUAUUGCACAAUGGGCGCAAGCCUGAUGCAGCGACGCCGCGUGGGGGAUGAAGGCCUUCGGGUUGUAAACUCCUUUCGCUAGGGACGAAGCUUUUUUGUGACGGUACCUAGAUAAGAAGCACCGGCUAACUACGUGCCAGCAGCCGCGGUAAUACGUAGGGUGCGAGCGUUGUCCGGAAUUACUGGGCGUAAAGGGCUCGUAGGUGGUUUGUCGCGUCGUCUGUGAAAUUCUGGGGCUUAACUCCGGGCGUGCAGGCGAUACGGGCAUAACUUGAGUGCUGUAGGGGUAACUGGAAUUCCUGGUGUAGCGGUGAAAUGCGCAGAUAUCAGGAGGAACACCGAUGGCGAAGGCAGGUUACUGGGCAGUUACUGACGCUGAGGAGCGAAAGCAUGGGUAGCGAACAGGAUUAGAAACCCCAGUAGUCCC
rnacentral:rRNA from 1 species